UCAGGAUGAACGCUAGCUACAGGCUUAACACAUGCAAGUCGAGGGGCAGCAUGUCGGUUGCUUGCAACCGAUGAUGGCGACCGGCGCACGGGUGAGUAACGCGUAUCCAACCUACCCUUGUCCAUCGGAUAACCCGUCGAAAGGCGGCCUAACACGAUAUCGGGGGGUUCACAGCAGGCAUCUAAGGUGAACGAAAUGUGAAGGAGAAGGAUGGGGAUGCGUCUGAUUAGCUUGUUGGCGGGGUAACGGCCCACCAAGGCGACGAUCAGUAGGGGUUCUGAGAGGAAGGUCCCCCACAUUGGAACUGAGACACGGUCCAAACUCCUACGGGAGGCAGCAGUGAGGAAUAUUGGUCAAUGGACGGGAGUCUGAACCAGCCAAGUAGCGUGCAGGACGACGGCCCUAUGGGUUGUAAACUGCUUUUAUAGGGGGAUAAAGUGUGCCACGUGUGGCAUAUUGCAGGUACCCUAUGAAUAAGGACCGGCUAAUUCCGUG
rnacentral:rRNA from 1 species